rnacentral:lncRNA from 1 species
GUUUAGGGUUUAGGGUUUAGAGUUUAGGGUUUAGGGUUUAGAGUUUAAGGUUUAGGGUUUAGAAUUGAGAAAUGAGGUUUUGGGGAUAAGAUUUCAAAUUUUGAAAAAUAAAAAAAUUAAAAUUUUCAAAGGAUAAACUUAGAAAGGUGCUAUUUUGAUCAUUUUAGUUUUUGAGUGCUAUUUUUGUGAUAUAAACUUAAAAAGGUGUUAU